rnacentral:rRNA from 1 species
CCUACGGGAGGCAGCAGUGAGGAAUAUUGGUCAAUGGGCGGACGCCUGAACCAGCCAAGUCGCGUGAGGGAAGACUGCCCUAUGGGUUGUAAACCUCUUUUGUCAGGGAGCAAGGCCGGCUACGUGUAGCCGGACGGAGAGUACCUGAAGAAAAAGCAUCGGCUAACUCCGUGCCAGCAGCCGCGGUAAUACGGAGGAUGCGAGCGUUAUCCGGAUUUAUUGGGUUUAAAGGGUGCGUAGGCGGAAUGCCAAGUCAGCGGUAAAAUGGCGGGGCUCAACCUCGUUCAGCCGUUGAAACUGGGGUUCUUGAGUGGGCGAGAAGUAUGCGGAAUGCGUGGUGUAGCGGUGAAAUGCAUAGAUAUCACGCAGAACUCCGAUUGCGAAGGCAGCAUACCGGCGCCCAACUGACGCUGAGGCACGAAAGCGUGGGUAUCGAACAGGAUUAGAUACCCGGGUAGUC